rnacentral:tRNA from 1 species
UAUGGUGAAGUAUAAGGAAUGUACAUGGGUUUUUGGCUCCCAAGGAGCGUGGAGGCGCCGCCGUAG